rnacentral:RNase_P_RNA from 1 species
GAAGCCAACCAGACAGUCGCCGCCUGUGCAAACAGGGGGAGGAAAGUCCGGGCUGCACAGAGCGGGAUGACGGCUAACGGCCGUACGCUGAAAGCUGGCAACAGUAUAAGGCGAGGAAUAGGGCCACAGAGACGAGUAAGCCUCUUUAGUGAGGUGGAUGUGAAACGCGGUAACCUCCAUCUGCAGCAAUAUCAAAUAGGCUGGCAUUUUACGCAAGUAAUAAGGCGUGGCUCGCGCUGCCAGCGGGUAGAUAGCUUGAGCGUGUGAGUAAUUGCACGCCUAGAGGAAUGACUGUCAGCUACGCAAGUAGUUACAGAACCCGGCUUACCGGUUGGCUUUACUU